UUUUUGUAGAGCGAAUGCAUGAUUUUGGGGUUAAAUGGGGGAUUUUCCAAGGGAAAAUUUGUGAUUUUCGGGUUAAAUGGGGGACUUUCCAAGGGAAAAGGCAUGAUUUUCAGGUUAAAUGGGGGAUUUUGGAAGAGAAAAUGCGUGUUGUUUGAGAUAAACAGGGGAUUUUUGUAGAGCGAAUGCAUGAUUUUGGGGUUAAAUGGGGGAUUUUCCAAGGGAAAAUUUGUGAUUUUCGGGUUAAAUGGGGGACUUUCCAAGGGAAAAGGCAUGAUUUUCUGGUUAAAUGGGGGAUUUUGGAAGAGCAAAUGUGUGAGUUUUGGUUAAAUGGGGGGUUUUCCAGAGCAAAUGCAUGACUUUCUGUUCAAUGGAGGAUUUUUGUGGUGAAAAUGCGUGGUGUUCAGGUUAAAGCAGGGAUUUUCGAUGAGAAAAUACAUGAUUUGGGGGUUGAAUGUGUUUGUUUGUUUGUUUGUUUUAAGAGAAAACUUGUGAUUUUUGAUGAAUUAUGUAUUUUUGAAGUGAAAAUGCGUGGUUUUCAGGUUAGAUCAGGGAUUCUUGAAGAGAAAAUGCAUCAUUGUCGGGUUACAUGGGGGAUUUCCAAAGAGAAAUCGCCUUUUUUUUUUUUUUUUUUCUGGUUAAAUGGGGGAUUCUUGAAGAGAAAUUGCAUUUUUUUC
ensembl:lncRNA